GGCCCUACACGAUCCCCGGGACAGUUAGACUGCCUUCGCCUCCCCAAGAUGGAUACCUGAAGGUUCCCACCUAACCUCAGACAGUUGACCAAUCCCAGCUGGGGAGGGGUUGCCAGGGGAGUUGACCAGGUAGGGUUAGGACCACCCUGCACAAACAAUAGAGGGUGGAACUUACCUGGGAGUCCUCAGUUGGCUCCAGAGCUUCUCCCACCCUGCCCUCCCUCAGUUUAUCUGUGACUGGAUUAAAGACUUUCGAAUAGAUCGGACACAAACAGUGAGGAUUGGACAUGUAACAUCUAAUUCCUUAAAAAUCAGCACUGGCACACCACAGGGAUGUGUGCUAAGUCCCUACCUGUAUUCAUUGUAUACAUACGAUUGUGUAACAUCUGACCCGUCUACUGCAGUUAUUAAGUUUGCAGAUGAUACCACCAUAAUGGGUUUAAUAACAGGUGGAGACGAAUCAGCGUAUAGAGGGGAGGUCCAAAAAAUAUCUACAUGGUGCCUAGGGAACAACUUGCACCUUAAUAUCAGCAAGACAAAGGAGAUGGUGUUGGACUUUCGGAGGAAGAGAGGAGAACUAGCCCCGCUGUACAUCGGGGAGGGCUGUGUGGAGAGAGUCUCUUCCUUCAAAUUCCUAGGAGUUUAUCUCAGUGAAGACCUUACUUGGAAAAUCAAUACAACCCAGGUGGUUAAGAAAGCCCAACAGAGACUCCAUCUCCUCAGAGUAUUGCGAAAGAACGAUGUCAAUCAACAUUUGAUGAUCUCCUUCUACCGGUCCACAAUAGAAAGUGUCCUUUCAUACUGCAUCACGGUGUGGUACGCUGGUUUGACAUCAACUGAUAGGAAGUGCCUACAGAGGGUGGUGAAUACAGCACAAGAUAUUAUGGGCUGUCCCGUGAAUCCUCUGGAUGAAAUAGUGGAAGAACGUUGCCUCAGGAGAGUGAGGAAAAUUCUCAGGGAUGAUUCACACCCUGGCCGGCACUUUCUUGAUCUCCUGCCCUCGGGCAGAAGAUAUAGAAGCAUGAUUAGUUGCACCAACAGGGUAAAGAACAGCUUCUAUCCAUGGGCUGUUAGGCUGCUGAAUGAAAAGAUAACAACAGGGCAACUGACUUUUGGGUUUGGUGGGUGUGCGUCAGUAAACGAGGGGAAUUAAGACUAAGAGAGCUGAGUGGGGGGUGCUCGUGUAAUCUCACUGUAUACAAGUUGUACAAGUGACAAUAAAGUAUUCCAAUUUCAAUUUAUGCCUUCCUUUUGCAGGUUAACCUCUUCUUUACAGGUAUGCGGGUUCUGCUACGGUCAUUGAUGGUUGCUGUUGAAGGACCGGGAAGGAAUUUCCCUGCAUCGGCAGGUUUUGCCUUCCCCAUAGCAAAACAUCACAACUUUGGCGGUUUCAGGUCUUGGGCGGAAUCCUAUCUAUCUAUCCUCCCCAAAUGGGGACGGGGGGGCAUGAAGCAGUGACCCACGCCCCCUCUGCGGCGGCAAUCCCAGGGUUCCCCAUUAAAGGGGUUGUGUUGAGGGGAGUCACUGGCCAUACACCGUUAGGUUGUCAGUGCUCUCCCCUGAGUUGCGGUGAAAUUGGGUGUCGGGCUCUCUGCUUAAACAUACAUUUUCCAGAGCCAGCCCAAUCCCCACACAGUUUGGAUAACCCUGAUGUCUCCCAGAUCCCCGGCCGGGGACUGGGAGGGAUAAACGCCCAGUGCCUAAGCCAAGGUCUCCCUACAUCUGAAAGUUUAAUAAAGUUGAGGCCAAUUUUAAUCCCAUAACAUGUUGUCAUGAGUCAGUAUUCCUCCCGGGGGUCGCCUGGGGUCGGGGGGUCUCUUCCUGAGACUGAACCUGAGAUUUCUCCAUGGAAAACAUCUUCUCUAGUACUGUAUUAUGGUCUCAUCUUUCCAGAAGAUAAAUAUGUGAAGCCGCGCUAUGAAUGGUUAUUCUAUAAACCUUCUGCUCCAUUAAUCUGCCAAAUCCUCUUUUAAAGCCAUCCUGACUGGCAGCCAUUACUGCCUCCUGAGGGAGGAAGUUUUGCCAAAAACUCUGUGCUGUGUGAGGAAGAAAUCCUUUCUUUUACCUCUCCUGAAUUUUCCAACAUUCAGCUUUGUCAGAUGGUCAAGAAUUCCAACAUCACGAGAGAGGGAGGAAAACUUUUCUCUAUCCACUUUCUCCAGACCAUAAUGUAUUGUUGUUGUUUAGUCGUUUAGUCGUGUCCAACUCUUCAUGACCCCCUAGACCAGAGCACGCCAGGCACCCCUGUCUUCCACUGCCUCCCGCAGUUUGGUCAAACUCAAGCUGGUAGCUUUGAGAACACUGUCCAACCAUCUCGUCCUCUGUCAUCCCCUUCUCCUUGUGGCCUCCAUUUUUCCCAACAUCAGGGUCUUUUCCAGGGAGUCUUCUCUUCUCAUGAGGUGGCCAAAGUACUGGAGCCUCAGCUUCAGGAUCUGUCCUUCCAGUGAGCACUCAGGGCUGAUUUCCUUAAGAAUGGAUAGGUUUGAUCUUCUUGCAGUCCAUGGGACUCUCAAAAGUCUCCUCCAGCACCAUAAUUCAAAAGCAUCAAUUCUUUGGCGAUCAGUCUUCUUUAUGGUCCAGCUCUCACUUCCAUACAUCACUACUGGGAAAACCAUAGCUUUAACUAUACGGACCUUUGUUGGCAAGGUGAUGUCUCUGCUUAUACAUUAUGUAUACCGGUCCACAAUAGAAAGUGUCCUUUCAUACUCCAUCACGUGGUGUGGUACGCUGGUUUGACAUCAACUGAUAUGAAGUGCCUACAGAGGGUGGUGAAUACAGCACAAAAUAUUAUGGGCUGUCCCGUGAAUCCGCUGGAUGAAAUAGCGGAAGAACGCUGCCUCAGGAGAGUGAGGAAAAUUCUCAGGGAUGAUUCACACCCUGGCCGGCACUUUCUUGAUCUCCUGCCCUCGGGCAGAAGAUAUAGAAGCCUGAUUAGUCGCACCAACAGGGUACAGAACAGCUUCUAUCCGUGGGCUCUUAGGCUGCUGAAUGAAAAGAUAACAACAGGGCAACUGACUUCCGGGUUUGGUGGGUGUACGUCAGUAAACAAGGGGAAUUAAGACUAAGAGAGCUGAGUGGGGGCUGCUCGUGUAAUCUCACUGUAUACAAGUUGUACAAGUAUUUCAAUUUCAAUUUUUGUCAAAAACAGAAUGCCUCAUCCGCUUUGAGGGAAAGGCACUCCGUCUGACACUGCAUGGUUUUCAGAUGCAAAACCCCCUCCCUGCAAUGUAGGCCUGUUUUAUUAUCCUCAUGGGUGGGAAACGUCCGUGGCUCAGAACUGGGGCUAACUCAGCAACAAUUGUCUUGUUGCUUCCCCCUUAAGCCUAGAGGAGACACAGCCCUGGAAAGAAGGGGGGGCAAUCCCCAUUGUUUAGCUUGAAACACCCUCCUCCCCUUGGCACAGAGUUGUGGCGGCAAUUUCUCCGCUUCCAGUAAACCAGGAAUAAAUUACAGGGCAAAACAUCUUCUCUGUACAGCACCUGCCCGAGAACAGGGGACCCAGCAGGACUCUCAUCCCAGAGAUGCCAGCUUUUUGGGAGGGGAAAGUCUCCCCCCCCCCUUUGACCUCCUCCAUCAUUUCCUCCUCCGUCUCUUCAGCCUGAAGGAGUUAAAAGCCUUCCUCUGACAACGAGAGGGAGGAAUGUUCUGACUGGGUUGAUUUAUAAAAGGCGUUCGAGUGGGAGCCAGCUGCAGAAAAUGAAAAAAAAAUGAUCCCCUCUGCCCUUUCCACAUAUCCUCCCGAGCCAGAAGGAAUUGGCAAGCUCCAUAAGUGCCCUCUUCUCUCCGUACAUAUGGUGGCCAAACAGUGUUGUGCCAUCUAACAAGUCUCUUCUUUACCUCCACUCAUCCAACGGCCACUUCAGGAACAACAUCAUUCAAAUGAUGCCCCAGUUACAUGCCCUGUGGUGGCUGCUGGGUUAGAUUGCUGCAGUGAGCUCUGCCCAGAGCAUCCUUUGACGCCUGUCUGGAAAUAGCUUUUGGGGGAAAUCAUGGCCACAGACAAGUGAGUGUUCCGGUUUGCGAACUAUUUUUGGAAACCGAACGCCCAAUGGAUCUUCCGAUUGGCUGCAGGAACUUCCUGCAGCCAAUCAGAAGCUGUGCUUUGGUUUCCGAACAUUUUGGAAGUCGAACGGACUUCCGGAACGAGUUCCAUUCGACUUCCAAGGUACGACUGUAUUCGGGCUACAGGCAUUACUUGUGUCCAAGACAGAACCAAGAAGUUACCACUAGCCCAUGCUGACUCACACUGCUGCUAACUUGAGCUAACUUGGUGUCACGGAGCAUAAAAGGUAAAGGUAAAGGGACCCCUGACCAUUAGGUCCAGUCAUGGCUGACUCUGGGGUUGUGGCGCUCAUCUCGCUUUACUGGCCGAGGGAGCCGGCGUACAGCUUCUGGGUCAUGUGGCCAGCUUGACUAAGCCGCUUCUGGCGAACCAGAGCAGCGCAUGGAAACGCCGUUUACCUUCCCGCUGGAGUGGUACCUAUUUAUCUACUUGCACUUUGAUGUGCUUUCAAACUGCUAGGUUGGCAGGAGCAGGGACCGAGCAACAGUACUCACCCCGUCACAGGGAUUCGAACCACCGACCUUCUGAUCGGCAAGUCCUAGGAGCUGUGGUUUAACCCGCAGCGCCACCCGUGUCCCGUCACGGAGCAUGCUGACCAUUAAAUCACACAGUCCAAUGCUGAAGUUAACUCUUUAUUAGUUCUUGGCUGAGUGUCAGGCCUAUUGAGCACAGCAGGUGAUUUUCUCCUGCCUCCCCAUAGCUAUCUAUUUCUCCUCCUCUCCAAGGCUUUCUCCAAGCAAUCGGAGACUGUGUCUGCAUGCAGCCAGUCUCUCCUCCUCCCUCUUCAUGCCUUUCCUGGUUCUGGGAGACAGGGGGAGUUUGUCGCAGCAGGAGAGAGAGACACACAUGACUCUUCACCAGCCUGACUCAUCUCUGCCUCUUGGUCUCCUCUGCUGCUUCAGCUUCUGCCUCCGAGUCUGGACUCCUCUCUGUCACAGAAUCUCCCUACUCACUCACUUACAUCUACCGCUUCCAAUACCUCUUCUUCCCAGCCUUCUCCAUGGGACUUCUCAGCGUUGUUCCACCAGCACUCCCUGGGCUCUGAGGCGUCUUUCCGCUCACCACCUGGUUCCUCCCAACCAGUGCAUGAUACUUGGAGAAUAAGUAGGAAGGAAGUAAAGCCUUAAAAGAAAUGAUUUACUGUACCAACAAGUAGGUGUUAUGUACUGAGUUGAAUAGGAUCCAAAAGGCAGCAGUCUGAUUGGUCCUAGAACAAUAGGGUCCAGAAUGCAGCAGUCUGAUUGGUCCUAGAACAAUGCAGCAGUAUGAUUGGUCCGCAGGAGCCACCCAAUCCAGCUCCAGGUGGAAGUGAGUCCGCAACCUGACUGGCCUACAGGAGAAUCCUGGAAUUAGCCAAUCACGUGUGGCCCAUUGUGAAAAUAAUGUAUAUAUAGCAGAUAUUUUGGGGAAACUUUGAUUCCUCACUACUAUGAGCUGAAUAAAGAGCAUGAAAUCCACACUCGACUCCGAGUAUAUUUCACAGUUACUAAAAGAGAGAGAAAUAUGUUGCCUUUCUGUUCGUCUGUCUGUCUUUCUCACACAGAGAGAGAGAGUUCAGGUAGCUUAUUGCAAGCUCCGUUGCUUGACUCCCAACAAGCUUACCUCUCCAACCAAUUAUUUUGCCUCUUCCUACAGUUAGAUUCCCUGACCUGACCCUUCCAGGAGGACCCCUCUUGUGCAUCGCAAGCAUCUAAAUUUGCUGACAGCACCGUUCCCAGAGCCUCAAGACGCUAGAGCUGCUGAAGUAGGCAUAAAUGUUCUCUUUUCCGAUGGAGACGGACAAAAAUCUCGAUGCAAAACUCCGGCGUUACUCCUGAUGUGUUGGAGGACUAAUUAAACGAACAAAUGAGAUGAAACAGCUGGCCUGCAAUGAGAAUGCUAAUGAGCCUAACAUUUAGAAGAGGUGAGCAAAAGCCCAACGACAGCUGUGCGGUCUUCUUCUUCAUAAUUAAAAGAAAAUAUCUCGGUUUCCGAGCAGAGCGUUCUGGUCAUCUUGAAGCAGCAAAAGGAUCAUUCCUAAGCUGCCAGCCACUCCUGUGAGAGCAAAGGUUAAAGAUGGUAACGCAAGGCAGGCAUAGCUUGGGGAAUACUUUUGCUUGCCUUUUUCUGCUGCAGGGGAACGCAUCAAUUUAAGAACAAAUAAGUCCAUCUUAAGGGACGCGGGUGGUGCUGUGGGUUAAACCACAGAGCCUAGGGCUUGCCGGUCAGAAGGUCGGCGGUUCGAAUCCCCACGACGGGGUGAGCUCCCGUUGCUCGGUCCCUGCUCCUGUCAACCUAGUGCAAGUAGAUAAAUAGGUACCACUCCGGUGGGAAGGUAAACGGCGUUUCCGUGCGCUGCUCUGGUUCACCAGAAGCAGCUUAGUCAUGCUGGCCACAUGACUCAGAAGCUGUACGCUGGCUCCCUCGGCCAAUAAAACGAGAUGAGCGCCGCAAUCCCAGAGUCAUCUGCGGCUGGACCUAAUGGUCAGGGGUCCCUUUACCUUUAAGCCCAUCUUGUGGUGUAAUUCACUGUGAGUUUUUUCCCUUCUUCCCCAUUUAUUUACGUACACAGAAUCAUAGAAUCAUGGUUGUAAGGUUCAAAGGGACCCUGUGGUUUAUCUGUAAAUCAAACGUGACAGGUGGUCAACCAACCUCUGCUUCAAAAUCUCCAAGGAAGGACUGUUCACCACCUCCCAUGGAAGUCUAUUUCAAAGUCAAACAGGUAUUGCUGCCAGAAAGUUGCCCUGAAGUUCAGUCGGAAUCUCCUUUCUUGUAAGUUGAAGCCAUUAAUUCAGGUCCUACACUCUGCAGCAGGAAAAAACAUGAUCACUCCCAUCUUUCAUGUGACAAUCAGAUAUUUGAAGAGGGCUAUCCUAUCUCCUCUCAGCCUCCUCUUUUCCAGGCUAAACAUACCCAACUCCCUCAACUGGCAUGGUCUCCAGACCCUUGAUCAUCUUGGUUGCUCUCUUCUGCACACAUUCCAGCUUGUCGAUGUCCAUCUUAAAUUGUGGCAUCCAGAACUGGACCCAGUACAGUCAUACCUCAUGUCACGUUUGCUUCAUGUUAUGUUUUUUCACGUAAUAAUAAUAAUAAUAAUUUAUUAUUUAUACCCCGCCCAUCUGGCUGGGUUUCCUAGCCACUCUGGGUGGCUUCCAACUGAAUAUUAAAAACAAUACAGCGUCAGAUAUUAAAAACUUCCCUAAACAUGGCUGCCUUCAGAUGUCUUUUAAAAGUAAAAUAGUUGUUUAUUUCCUUGACAUCUUCUGGGAGGGCAUUCCACAGGGCAGGCACCACUACCGAGAAGGCCCUCUGCCUGGUUCCCUGUAACCACACUUCUCACAGUGAGGGAAUCGCUAGAAGGCCCUCGGAGCUGGACCCCAGUAUCCGGGCUGGUUGCGUCCUGCAGUGACCCGGAAGUCUAGUCAGCAUAGCCAGUGGUUAGGGAUUACCUGAGUUGUAGUUCAAGAACAUCUGGGGACCCAAGGUAGAGAAAGAUUGCUUGAAUGGUAGGACAGGCCCAAGAGAAAAUUCCCCCAGGGACUCUCACGCCCCACCAGCCUCUGUGAGCAGUUUCUUAAUAAUGUUCUUUGUCUUGCUUAUUAUUCGUCGCAAGCGGUUGUUCAGAACACUUUGCAUUCUCCAGGGGAAACCGCUACCAGCUUCAAAAGAGAAGGGGCAGAAAGCUCUUAUCAAACAACUUCAACAUAGCAGAGGAAAAGGCGGUGGCAGAACACCAGCCAACUAGGGCUGUUUUUAAUAAACUUUCCUACCAAGGCGGUAAAAACGCUCUCGAAAAACAAUCGCGCUGGAUAUUUAAAGACUCUCAUUUCAUAGGCAAUCCUAGACUUUGUUGUUGUUGUUGUUUCUCCUUCGGUUGGUUGUGAAGGCCACAUGAGUGCUUUCUCCAAAUGGAUCAGAUUAUUUAUUGACCUUGAGCCUAAUCUGCUCCUGCAGUUAGUCCACAUCUCCAGGUCCUUUGUUUUCGCUUAAAAUGGCAAGGCCAACACACACAAAGAGCUCAGAACCGCACCAUAGAUUUCAAGCACGCUUUGGCCACGUUAACAGCCUUCCCGCAAAGGAUCUUGGGAGCUGCACUUAGGACCAUAGGAAACUGCCAUAGGAGCCAACUCCAGGGGGCCAUGGGUGUUUCGGCACGCACAAUAAUAUAAUGGGGGGGCUGGGCACCCACAAAGUCAAUGAGAAAAGGUGGUAGCGAUAGUGGAAGCAAUUCAGCUCCACCCUCCGCAGCCAGCGAGUGAGUGAGGCACCUUUUCCAGCGGGGUGGGGCUCGGAUGCGGAGGCAGAGGUGGAAUCUAGACACAUAUAAAAACCGCUUUGAAAAUGCUUCUUUAAAGCCUUUUUUAAAAAAAAUACAUUGAAUUUUCCAUCAGGCUCAUCAUCGCUAUCUAGUGUCCCAUUGUAUAUCGCACUUAAAACACACUUGAAAUGUUUUCAAUGAAAUACUUUAUUGUCACUUGUACAACUUGUAUACAGUGAGAUUACACGAGCACCCCCCACUCAGCUCCCUUAGUCUUAAUUCCCCUUGUUUACUGACGCACACCCACCAAACCCAAAAGUCAGUUGCCCUGUUGUUAUCUUUUCAUUCAGCAGCCUAACAGCCCACGGAUAGAAGCUGUUCUUUACCCUGUUGGUGCAACUAAUCAGGCUUCUAUAUCUUCUGCCUGAGGGCAGGAGAUCAAGAAAGUGCUGGCCAGGGUGUGAAUCAUCCCUCAGAAUUUUCCUCACUCUCCUGAGGCAACGUUCUUCCGCUAUUUCAUCCAGCUGAUUCACGGGACAGCCCAUAAUAUCCUGUGCUGUAUUCACCACCCUCUGUAGGCACUUCCUAUCAGUUGAUGUCAAACCAGCAUACCACACCGUGAUGCAGUAUGAAAGGACACUUUCUAUUGUGGACUGGUAGAAGGAGAUCAUCAAAUGUUGAUUGACACCGUUCUUCCGCAAUACUCUGAGGAGAUGGAGUCUCUGUUGGGCUUUCUUAACAACCUGGGUUGUAUUGAUUUUCCAAGUAAGAUCUUCACUGAGAUAAACUCCUAGGAAUGUAAAGGAAGAGACUCUGUCCAUACAGCUGUCCCCGAUGUAUAGGGGGGCUAGUUCUCCUCUCUUCCUCCGAAAGUCCAACACCAUCUCCUUUGUCUUGCUGAUAUUAAGGUGCAAGUUGUUCCCUAGGCACCAUGCAGAUAUUUUUUGGACCUCCCCUCUAUACGCUGAUUCGUCUCCACCUGUUAUUAAACCCAUUAUGGUGGUAUCAUCUGCAAACUUAAUAACUGCAGUAGACGGGUCAGAUGUUACACAAUCGUAUGUAUACAAUGAAUACAGGUAGGGACUUAGCACACAUUUGUUUGCAGCUGUAUAGCUGAGUCCAGAGUCUCUCUGCCUCUGAAUCCGAGCCCCUCCCUGCGGAAAAGGGUGCCUCGCUGGCUGCAGAGAGGAAGAGGAGCCACUGCCGCAACCACAUGGGUGUGCGGUGUCACACUCACACACCUGCAUGUCAUGGUGUGAUGUCACACACACACUAUGUGCAGGCUCGUGCGUCUGACGUCACACAUCUGCAUUGCAGCGGCGGGCACCCACAACCCUGAGGGUGAGUUGGCACCCCUGGAGACUGCUGUAUAUCCUGGGUCAGACUAUUGCUCCAUCUAGCUCCAUACUGUCUACACUGACUGGCAGCAGCUCUGCAGCAGCUCAGGCAGGAAGAUGUUUCCAGCCACCCCUGGAGAUGCCACUGGUACAUUAUUAUUAUUAUUAUUAUUAUUAUUAUUAUUUGUAUAGCACCCCAUCUCAGGGUGGUUCACAACAUAAAACCACAAUAUAAAAACACAUCACGGUUUUUAAUCUGCUCACAUUGUUUGUUGGUUUGAGUUUGCUUUUAACUUUCACAUUUUAAGGGAUCGCACCAUAUAUUUUGGGACACGGGUGGUACUGUGUGUUAAACCACUGAGCCGAGGGCUUGCCAGUCGGAAGGUCAACGGUUCGAAUCCCGGCAACGGGGUGAGCUCCCGUUGCUCGGUCCCAGCUCCUGCCAACCUAGCAGUUUGAAAGCACGCAGUGCAAGUAGAUAAAUAGGUACCACUCCGGCGGGAAGGUAAACGGUGUUUCCGUGCGCUGCUCUGGUUCGCCAUAAGUGGCUUAGUCAUGUUGGCCACAUGACCCGGAAGCUGUACGCCGGCUCCCUUGGCCAAUAAAGCGAGAUGAGCGCAACAACCCCAGAGUCGUCCGUGACUGGACCAAACAGUCAGGAGUCCCUUUACCCUUUACCUUUAUGAUAUGUUUUAUUUAUUCAUUUCAAUGUUAUUUAAUGUGUUAUGCUAUCAUCACAUCUCCUUGGUGAGCCAAAGCUCCAUUUGCUCCUAGGGCACUUGCUACACACAUCAGAACGAAAAGGCCUCCCUUCACUUUCCGGGGAGGAGAUGUUUUACAGAGCUAAUAACUGCAGGGGAAUAAUCAGUAAAGGCGGGGGUGGAUACGUAGCAAAGAUCUGGAAGGAAAAUAUUCCAAAUAUGCUAGGGAGUGAAUGGAGGCUUCGUCUGCAGCAGGUAAUUCAAAACCAUUUGUCUCCAUCCAAAGCUCAGGUGUCCUUAUUAGAUGAACAAUCAUCAGCCGAGGAGCUAGGAUGUUGUUCUUCCCCGAAGUGGGAUGCAGGAAUUACCAGCAGAACCUUGGCAGAAGAGGCUGUAAAAACAAAAAGAACAAGUCAAGUGUUUCAGCUGUGGUACAGUAAGAUGAACUGCCCCAAGGGCACACGAUGCAACAACCUUGCUCAACCUAAAUCUUAUUCUUCUUCGGCGAUCAUUCAUAGCUGAGUAAGAUUGUCUUCCAUAAACACGGUUUUAACAAUGAGUCCGUAAGUGACUGUGGAGGCCAAUUCUGGAUCCACAAAUCCUUCCACAGUGGGGACAUAGGUUUCCGCGCGGGAGUUGAUCACGGUGUGGAUUUGCCAAGUGUGCCUUCUUCUUAGCACGUUUCUCCCUUGCGGCCUGAGAUGGAGUGUCUUCAAAGCCCAUCUCAAGAAGUGUGCAUUCACAUGAAAGCUUAUACCUAAAACUACUCAGUUGGUCUCUAUGGUGCUACAUUAUAAUUCUUAAAUUCUUUUGGAAGGAUUCUUUUAAAGACUUUCUUAGAUCCUAUAACUUUUUUGAAGACUUGAUUCUUUUAAGGGAGCUUUUAGGUUUUUAAGAAGAGUCUUUUUAACUAUCUUUUUAAAGAAUUGUUUUAAUUUAUUUUCAAAGCCCAUGACACCUUUGGAAAAAGCUCUUCUCCAACUGGAGCGCUCACAGGCCAGUGUUUCCCAGUUGUCAGUGUUCAGCGAGAACCUUUUUUGGGGAAUGAUAGAAUUGUAGAGUUGGAAGGGACCCCAGAAGUCAUCUAUUCCAACCCCCUGCCAUUCAGGAGUACAGGGAAAAGGUGGGAUAUGAGAUUACUUGUUUUGUGAAAACUGAUUGUUGUAAUGGUGGUUUGGUCUGAGGACUGGAUUUUGUAUGCAAGCUUUUAGGGGUAAUAUCAGGAAUGUUGGAAGCUGCUUAUACUGAGUCAAACCAUUGGUCCAUUUAGUUCAGCAUCAUCCCUUCUGAUGGGCACUGGCUCUCUAGGGACUUGGGUGAUGGAUCUUUUUAAAAAAGGUAAAAGGUAAAGGACCCCUGACAGUUAAGUCCAGUCACAGACAACUCUGGGGUUGCGGCGCUCAUCUCGCUUUACAGGCCGAGGGAGCCGUCGUUUGUCCAUAGACAGCUUUUCUGGGUCAUGUGGCCAGCAUGACUAAGCCGCUUCUGGCGAACUAGAGCAGCGCACAGAAGCGCCGUUUACCUUCCUGCCAGAGUGGUACCUAUUUAUCUACUUGCACUUUGACGUGCUUUCAAACUGCUAGGUGGGCAAGAGCAAGGACCGAGCAACGGGAACUCACCCCGUCGCGGGGAUUCGAACCGCCGACCUUCUGAUCAGCUAAGCUCUGUGGUUUAACCCACAGCACUAAUGGGUGCCUAAUUGAAUGAUUGGAUUGUUAAUUGCUCAGUACACAAGUGUGUCAGGUACCACUGUACAAAUUACAACAUAAUUAAAAUUUGGCACUGUGUGUGAAUCAAGCCUAUGUCUGCUUGAUAGUGUCAGGACGGACUACAGCUCCACUCUGAAUGGUCCAGGUCAGGCAUUGCAGCAAACCAAGAUUAAAGGUAAAGGUAAAGGGACCCCUGACCAUUAGGUCCAGUCGCAGACAACUCUGGGGUUGCAGCAAUCACCUUGCUUUACUGGCCGAGGGAGCUGGCGUACAGCUUCCGGGUCAUGUGGCCAACAUGACUAAGCCACUUCUGGCGAACCAGAGCAGUGCACAGAAACGCCGUUUACCUUCCCGCCGGAGCAGCAACUAUUUAUCUACUUGCACUUUGACAAAGCUUAAUUAAACUAAACGGCAGAUUAAUGAGGAAACAGCACAGAACAAAUUUAUGGGCGAACACAGAGUGACCUGGGCCGCAAAUAGACUGAUUCGUUCAUCUCUAGGUAGAGUCAUGUCUCAAAUCUCAUUGGUGAGACGUUGGGAGGAUAUGUCAUUGUCUAGGAUGCUCUGACAUUUGACUUCAGAGAAUGCUCAAAAUGAGAUGUGGGAAUUGUGUUCUCCGCAAACCCAGAGCCUGGCGAUGUGCAUCUUCUGCCAGAAUCUUGCUCCUCCCAAGGCAAGAAUCCCUCCAAAGAAAUCCUUCAAACUCCUCCACGCCGUUGCUCUUGAAAUGUUCCGAAAUAAACACAUACAUCUUCUGGUUCAGAGGCUGGGAGCGCCUGUUACAGGAUGACAGGCAGGGCAGGUUCCUUACCCUUUAAGGUCAACCUCAUCUGAAGCCCGGGCAAGAGGAACCUUUUCAAAUAACAGAGGUCUGGGGCCAUCGGGCGAAGAGCCAAGAAGCACCACUUGGAGAUAACUUGAAAGAAUUCAGAAGUGUGCUCUUCAGAUUCCCCCGUUUCCAAGUUCCACCCAACAUUCUGAAUUACAGACACAGCCGGCCAUUGAGGUAUGAGGGUUUUCUCUGUCUAGGACGGCCCACAAGUUUGGCCAUACAUUCAGAGCAUACAUUUAAAAUGCUAUGACACCACUAUAUUUCUUAUUUUUAAAUUUUAUAUAUACUUUUCAGAUUUAUAGGUAAAGGGACCCCUGACCAUUAGGUCCAGUCACAGACAACUCUGGGGUUGUGGCGCUCAUCUCGCUUUAUUGGCCGAGAGAGCCGGCGUACAGCUUCCGGGUCAUGUGGCCAGCAUGACUAAGCCGCUUCUGGCGAACCAGAGCAGCGCACGGAAACGCUGUUUACCUUCCCUCUGGAGCGGUACCUAUUUAUCUACUUGCACUUUGACGUGCUUUCGAACUGCUAGGUUGGCAGGAGCAGGGACGAAGCAACAGGAGCUCACCCUAAUGCGGGGAUUUGAACCACCGACCUUCUGAUUGGCAAGUCCUAGACUCUGUGGUUUAACCCACAGCGCCACCCGUGUCCCUUCAGAUUUAUACAUUUCCCCAAUUUUACAUUCAUCUUAACAUUUAGAAACUUGACUUCUCCCCUUUCCUUGGUUCCUUAAAUUUAUUUUUAAUAUCUUCUACAUAUCCAGAUCAACUUAAUUUGCUCAUUAUUCAUCCACCUUAAAUAUAUACUCUUAAAAUACUGCAGGUUACUACAAUAAUCCUGUCAGUUCUUAUCUGUUUACAAUUUAUCUGUAAAUAUUCAAUAAACCAUUUCCACUCUUUUAUAAAAAGUUUUUUAUCUUGAUUUCUUAUUCUUCCAGGAAGUUUUGCCAUUUCUGCGUAUUCCAUAAGUUUUUGUAUCCAUUCUUCCUUUGCUGGGCUUCUUUCCAUUUUAGGGAAAGUAACAUUCUUGCCAUUGUAGUAGCAUACACAAAUAAAUUUCUAUACAGUUUAAGUAGUUCUAUCCCUAUAAUUCCCAAAAGAAAAGCUUCUGGUUUUUUUUUUUUUUUUUUACAAACGUUAUUUUAAACAUCCUUUUCAAUUCAUUAUAUAUCACCCCCCAGUAAGCUUUAACCUUACUACAAAACAUCUCUUUAAACAGUCAUAGCUUCCCCCAAGAAUUCUGGGAGCUGAAGUUGGUUAAGGGCAUUGAGAGUUGUGCGCAUACCCUCCAACAUUUCUCCAAUGAAAAUAGGGAUGCCCUGUUCCAUGGAGAGGCAAACUAAGGCCUGAGGGCCGGAUUUGGCCCAAUUGCCUUCUAAAUCCAGCCCACGGAUGGUCCGGGAAUCAGCGUAUUUUACAUGAGUAGAAUGCGUCCUUUUAUUUAAAAUGCAUCUCUGAGUUAUUUGUGGGGCCUGCCUGGUGCUUUUACAUGAGUCGAAUGUGUGCUUUUAUUUUAAAUGCAUCUCUGAGUUAUUUGUGGGGCAUAGGAAUUUGUUCAUUUCCCAAAAAAAAUAUAGUCUGGCCCCCCCACAAGGUCUGAGGGACAGUGGACCGGCCCCCUGCUGAAAAAGUUUGCUGAUCCCUGGCCUAUUCCAUUAUAAUUAUUAUAAAAAUUUUGUCAUUUAUAUGCCACCCAUUAAAAAGCAGAGACAUCACCUUGCCGACAAAGGUCCGUAUAGUUCAAGCUAUGGUUUUCCCAGUAGUGAUGUAUGGAAGUGAGAGCUGGACCAUAAAGAAGGCUGAUCGCCAAAGAAUUGAUGCUUUUGAAUUAUGGUGCUGGAGGAGACUCUUGAGAGUCCCAUGGACUGCAAGAAGAUCAAACCUCUCCAUUCUGAAGGAAAUCAGCCCUGAGUGCUCACUGGAAGGACAGAUCCUGAAGCUGAGGCUCCAAUACUUUGGCCACCUCAUGAGAAGAGAAGACUCCCUGGAAAAGACCCUGAUGUUGGGAAAGAUGGAGGGCACAAGGAGAAGGGGACGACAGAGGAUGAGAUGGUUGGACAGUGUUCUCGAAGCUACCAGCAUGAGUUUGACCAAACUGUGGGAGGCAGUGGAAGACAGGAAUGCCUGGCGUGCUCUGGUCCAGGGGGUCAUGAAGAGUCAGACACGACUAAAUGACUAAACAACAACAACAUGCCACCCAUUAAACAUUAAAACAACAUCCCUGUACAGGGCUGCUAUCAGAAGUCUUCUAAAGGUUGUCUAGUUACUUAUUUCUUUGGCUCAGAGGGCGGGGGUGUUGCAUAAUUCCAUACCGAUGUAAAUAGGAACGUCCUAUUCCAUACCCUCCAACAUUUCUCCAAAGUCAGGCAGAGAGCUGAAAAAGAAACAGUGUAAUUAAUUUUUCAUUCCUCGCUCUGCAGUGUGCCGUCUCUCCAAUCACUAUAAUUUAUGCUCGUCCUUUUCACAGGCGCAGGUUGGAUUUUGUGUCUAAACAGCGUUCCACCUUGUACCACGUCCCCCCAUGAUAAAAGGCGGGUUCAGCCAGAGUUUGCCUCUUCUCGCUGGCAGGCAGGUAUCUCCUGCGCCCUGUCCGCAUUCUUUCCAAGUGCUUCAACUUGUAAAAAAAUAAAAUAAAAAACCGCAGUCUCAAGAAACACACUGCCCCAGCCCAUCUUCCUGUACCAAGCACAUGUAAUCUCAAAGACAAAUGUUUAGAUGUUCAUAAAGUCUCUCGGCUUUGCAUGAUUAAAUGCGACUGGGGUUAUGAAAGCUAUUUCACCAUUUCCCCCCUGAAAUCUCCUUCCUUCCCUCUCUCCUGUUCUCUGUAUUCCUUCCUUCUUUCCUAUUCUCUUCCUUCCUUCCUUCCUUGGAUUUUUGAGUAAAAGUCUCCAAACUGAGGUAUAAUCGUAAAAAAAAGGGGGGGAGAAUAAAUGAUUAUAAGGUUUUAAUUACAAACCACCUUGAGUGAGCAUUUUGGUUUUUUGGUUUUUUUAUAAUAAAUUUUAUUAGUAUUUUCCACACAACAACACGAAAAAUAUCGAAAAAUAACAAUACACAAAAACCAGCAUACCAAAAAAUAUUUCCAUAUCUUACAUGUUAAUAAUAUAAGCACUAAAAAGAAAAACAAACAUUGACUUUCACCAAUCCCACAGUACCUCCUUUACCUCUCAUUAUGUCUUCCUGUUUUCCUGUUUUCCUUAUCAUCUCAAUCCUAGCAUCUAGAUAUAAAUCCCUCUUUCUUAUCCUUUCACUUCACAAGCUUAUUCCAGACUCAGCCAGAUUUCUGUCCUCAAACCUGGGCUUUUAAGGUAUUCAUUUAGGCACUCCCAUCCCUUUUUCACUUCAUUGAGUGAAGAUUUGACCUGAAAGGUAGUGCGAAAAUACCUAGAUAAAAAUGUAUACCAAUAACAAUCAAACAUUGUAUCAAUAACUCCCCCCCCCCAAAAAAAUAGUUAUCAGAAAUGAUUGGUAUCCUCCAGAGAUACAUAGUUUAUAUUAUUUUUUCCAUAAUAGCCAAAGUCAAUACUUCUUCUACCACAAAGACAAAUGGUUGGCGUGAAAUAACACACGGGACUAAUUAAUACAGGUGAGAGGGCCCAUUCGGCCUGCCAGGUGUUCCUGGACUACAACUCCCAUCAGCCCCAACAAGCAUGGCCAAUGGUCAGGGGUGAUGGGAGUUGUAGUCCAGCAACACCUGGAGGGCCAAAUGGGUCCUCUCACUUGUAUUAGUUAGCCCAGUGUCUUAUUUCAUGCAAACCAUUUGUCUUUGUGGUAGAAGAAUUUAUUGACUGAAGGAGGAUCUGAAGUAAAGCCAGAGGAAAGUGUGGCCUGGUGAGGUUGUGUAACUUGGGGAAGAGUCCCGGGGUCCGGAUUCAGAGGCACUGAGGGCCGCAUUUGUUUGAUUUCCAGUUUCGGCCCACCAGUCUAGUUUUCACCCAGCAGAAACUUCGUUGCUUUCUCUCUCUCUCUCUCUCUCUCUCUCCUCCAAGAAUCCCCUCCUUGUAUCACAGCCACUGAAUUUAAUUAGCUGCCUGCAAGCCUUGGCUCAGGGUUGGACCAUUGGUGCCAAGGCAGUAUGAAAGCUUCGUUAGCCAAUAAGCCAGAUUUAUAGCCUCACCCUGCAACGCUCUGGCUUUCUCCCACUCCGGUGAAAUAUCCUCAGCUUCUAACCAGCAUAUUCAGCAAGUCAGCCAUUAAUUCAACCCAAAGCAAAAGGAUGUGAUAGAUCAGUGUUGGCCAAACUUGGGUCUCCAGCUGCUUGGGGACCACAAUUCCCAUCAUCCCUGACCACUGGUCCUGCUAGCAAGGGAUGAUGGGAGUUGUAGUCCAAAAACAGCUGGCGACCCAAGUUUGGGAAACACUGUGAUAGAUGGUGGACCAACAGGAGAAGGUGGUCUAUUAGCGUGAAAGGGGCAUUGCCCUAUCAACCUCAGUCUGGCCUCAGCCAGACCCCUCUGCCUGCCUUCUGACUUGCCACCAAACAGGUGGUGGCUGUACCUGUCACUAGCUCCCAGUCCCCUUAAUGUUGGUUUCUCUGUCUUCCACCCUACCAGUUCCAAUGGUCUCCAGCUCCCAUGGUGGGUCAACAUCUAUUGCACAACUGUUCCGGGCUUUUUAGACUCAUCUACCCAUCACCUUGCCAACAAAGGUCCGUAUAGUUAAAGCUAUGGUUUCCCCAGUAGUGAUGUAGGGAAGUGAGAGCUGGACCAUAAAGAAGGCUGAUGCUUUUGAAUUAUGGUGCUGGAGGAGACACUUGAGAGUCCCAUGGACUGCAAGGAGAUCAAACCUAUCCAUUCUGAAGGAAAUCAGCCCUGAGUGCUCACUGGAAGGACAGGUCCUGAAGCUGAGGAUCCAAGACUUUGGCCACCUUAUGAGAAGAGAAGACUCCCUGGAAAAGACCCUGAUGUUGGGAAAGAUGAAGGGCACAAGGAGAAGAGGACAGCAGAGGACGAGAUGGUUGGACAGUGUUCUCGAAGCUACCAGCAUGAGUCUGACCAAACUGCGGGAGGCAGUGGAAGACAGGAGUGCCUGGCGUGCUCUGGUCCAGGGGGUCAUGAAGAGUCAGACACGACUAAACAACCUCAGAUCCUGUAUCCCUGAAGGAGCGACUCCACCCCCAUCGUUCAGCCCAGACACUGAGAUCCAGUGCCGAGAGCCUUCUGGCGGUUCCCUCACUGCGAGAAGUAAAGUUACAGGGAACCAGGCAGAGGGCCUUCUCGGUAGUGGCACCCACCCUGUAGAACACCCUCCCAUCAGAUGUCAAGGAAAUAAGCAGCUAUCUUAUUUUUAAAAGACAUCUGAAGGCAGCCCUGUUUAGGGAAGUUUUUAAUAUUUAAUGCUGUAUUGUUUUUAACACUGGAUCGGGAGUCACCCAGAGUGGCUGGGGAAACUCAGCCAGAUGGGCGGGGUAUAAAUAAUAAAUUAUUAUUAUUAUUAUUAAACAACACAUGUACUAUCUGAAACCCAAGGGGUGCAUUGGUUGCCUGAUGUGAUUUUCCCCCAGCUCCCCUACCUCACUAGUAAGAAUUUGGUUGCUUUUAAAAACAAAACAGAUGGGUCCAUUUGAGCCUAAUUCAAUCCCCUCCCCAUCCUUCAAGAUAUUUAACGUUCCUAAGGAUGAAGACAAAGGCAAUAGUUUCUCGGGAUGAAGACAGUGAUGAAAAAGUGUGGCUCUGGUGCAAGUUUUGCUGCAUCCAUUCGAAGGCAUUUGUUUUCAGGGCAAUGGGCAUCCGUUCAAAAUUCAAGUCACGUCCAUUGCUAUUCAAAGGCACGCUGGUCCUCCACCUUUGCUGCUCUCAGUUAUCCAGAUGACCCCUCCACACACACAACGAUACAUCUGUCUUCACCCCGAGAUGACUGUAAACAUGUUUAGUUGUGAUUCAGAUCAAGUUGUGUUUUUUCCCCCAGCACUGCAUCAGGCUGAGCCAACAAACAUGGGUCUUAAAAUAGCAUUCAGUUCCAUUAUCGUCCGCAGGAGAGGAAACACCUUGUGGGAGCAUUCAGGGAAAGGGGUGAUGUGCGCUGAGCUCUAGGGUGGGGUGGAAGGGAAUGGCUGUGGUUUCACAGCAGAACAGUGGAGAAAAAGAGGCUGUUUUCCAUGAGAGAGAGACCACCCCAUCAGCCGGCAUUCCACAGCACUGGGUUAAAGUCUGGUGGGCGGCUGUAGUAUAGACAGCUGGCCACAGGAGGGGAUGGAGCAGGAAGAGUCUAACUGCCUCCUACUUUGGGAAAUAGAUUAGCAAGAUGAAAGGAUAGGUUUUCUCCCACACAGGACUGGGUUCUUGUUUUAUUUUUAUUAUUAUUAUUAUUAUUAUUAUUAUUAUUAUUAUUAUUAUCAGUUGUGCCCCUUUUUGUACUGAGCUCCAUCAAAGAUCAACCUCUAAGCACUCAGUUCUGCCUCUUAGCUCCAGUCCUGAGACAAAAGGAACAAUGUUUAGAUUUGCCUUAAUUUCUCAUUUUUUUUCCAACCUUGGGUUUGGUUCUCAGCAUUAAUAUUUUAAUUAAUAUCUCUUCCUUUAAAUUCCUAGGAGUGUAUCUCAGUGAAGACCUUACUUGGAAAAUAAAUACAACCCAGGUGGUUAAGUAAGCCCAACAGAGACUCCAUCUCCUCAGAUUAUUGAGAAAGAACGAUGUCAAUCAACAUUUGAUGAUCUCC